rnacentral:rRNA from 1 species
AGCAGUCGCCACGGGAAUACGUAGGGUGCGAGCGUUAAUCGGAAUUACUGGGCGUAAAGCGGGCGCAGACGGUUACUUAAGCAGGAUGUGAAAUCCCCGGGCUCAACCUGGGAACUGCGCUUGUGACUGCACAGCUAGAGUAUGGCAGGGGGGGGUGGAAUUCCACGUGUAGCAGUGAAAUGCGUAGAGAUGUGGAGGAACACCGAUGGCGAAGGCAGCCCCCUGGGCCAAUACUGACGCUCAUGCACGAAAGCGUGGGGAGCAAACAGGAUUAGAUACCCCUGUAGUCCCUGUCUCUUAUAC